rnacentral:tRNA from 1 species
GGGCGUAUAACUCAGCGGUAGAGUGCUACCUUCACACGGUAGAAGUCUCAGGUUCGAAUCCUGAUAUGCCCACCA